CCUCCAGGGAUUCAUUAGCCUCCUGGAGCUUUUCCCCAGCUAACAAAUUACCGCUAACUGGGGCCGAUGGGGCGUGGCCUGUGGAGCCGGGGUCAAGUCAGGUCAGGUUCACAUCAACUGCCUGAUCGGUGCUGUGGCCUGAGAGCCUCUUGGGCAGAUGCGAGGAAGGCGAGAGCCGUGGAGCCCCCUCUGUCCCCAAACGGGCCAGAUCCCAUCCAGCUUUACAUCUGUUUUGCCUUCUGGAAUGGUCACAGCCCAUCCGAGCGGAUGCACGGGGAGUGUCCUGUCCACAGUUGGAGGAUAACCGAGGCCCCAGGGUUAACAACCUUGCCCAGGCCGCACGGUUCGCAACGGUGGAGCCGGGACUGGGACCACGGAACGGCGGGUCUGGGCCGCCGAUGCCAGAAGGAGGCUCCCCUGCGUCCCCGUAUCCAGCUCAGGUGCUCGCUGCGUCCAGCAGCCUGGCUGGGAGGGGACCCCCGGCAGUGAGGCUUCUCUUCACUCACUCCGGUCUCUGCAGCCCCAGGAAAAGGCUGGAGGGCCUUUGCUGGUGGAGCUGGCUUUGGGCUGGCAGGUCACAUCCUGGACACAGACAAUGGGUCUUACAGCAGAUGACCCCUAGGUCUCCCAGUCCCCACGCACGUAGAGACCUCACACCCACUCUACUGCUCAACUCAUUUCUCUCCCCAACGUGGACCAGAACCAAGGGUCCCAUCACUGUUCCCAAUCCCUUAUGUCCACCACUGCUAUGAUGAACACCCCCAAAACAACACCUUUGAGAAACUG